UACGUAGGGUGCGAGCGUUGUCCGGAAUUAUUGGGCGUAAAGAGCUCGUAGGCGGUGUGUCGCGUCGGCCGUGAAAACCUGGGGCUCAACUCUGGGCGUGCGGUCGAUACGGGCAUCACUUGAGUUCGGCAGGGGAGACUGGAAUUCCUGGUGUAGCGGUGAAAUGCGCAGAUAUCAGGAGGAACACCGGUGGCGAAGGCGGCUUCCUGGACCGACACUGACGCUGAGGCGCGAAAGCUAGGGGAGCAAACGGG
rnacentral:rRNA from 1 species